rnacentral:rRNA from 1 species
CGCGUAGGCGGCCAGGUAAGUCAUAUGUGAAAGCCCGGGGCUCAACCCUGGAAGUGCAUCUGAAACUGCUUGGCUUGAGUAUGGGAGAGGGAAGUGGAAUUCCUGGUGUAGAGGUGAAAUUCGUAGAUAUCAGGAGGAACACCGGUGGCGAAGGCGACUUCCUGGACCAAUACUGACGCUGAGGCGCGAAGGCGUGGGGAGCAAACA